UGGGGAAUAUUGGACAAUGGGCGCAAGCCUGAUCCAGCCAUGCCGCGUGAGUGACGAAGGCCUUAGGGUUGUAAAGCUCUUUUGGCGGGGAAGAUAAUGACGGUACCCGCAGAAUAAGCUCCGGCUAACUUCGUGCCAGCAGCCGCGGUAAUACGAAGGGAGCUAGCGUUGUUCGGAAUCACUGGGCGUAAAGCGCACGUAGGCGGAUGUGUCAGUCAGGGGUGAAAUCCCGGAGCUCAACUUCGGAACUGCCCUUGAUACAGCACGUCUUGAGUCCGAUAGAGGUGGGUGGAAUUCCUAGUGUAGAGGUGAAAUUCGUAGAUAUUAGGAAGAACACCAGUGGCGAAGGCGGCCAACUGGCUCGAUACUGACGCUGAGGUGCGAAAGCGUGGGGAGCAAACAGGAUUAGAUACCCCAGUAGUCCCUGAGCGGGCUGGCAAGGCGCAU
rnacentral:rRNA from 1 species